GGCAUGUGCAGCUCCUGCAGUGCAAACCUAGCAAACGCCAACGUAAGAGUCAUAGAGCUUCACCAAGAGUACAACAGCGAGUGUCUACUUCAAGGGAUCUUUGCUGUUUCAUCAAUUCCUCCCCGUGGGAUGGCUGAUUGUCAGAGCAGAGUGGUGCAGCUGAAGAGGGGAUCUUGCUCAGAUCAUUUCUCUUCAGUGGAGUGGUUCUUACACACAAGGAGGAUCACACCACAGUAGAUGGUCCCCGAUAAGGUCGCCACUGGCAAGAUGGCCGCCAGUCUCUACCACUUUAUAAUUCUGACUCAAGACAACACCGCCUCGAGGCCAGCUAUUGACAAGGCAAAAAACAAGAGUCUCCUCCAUCUUAUUUACGACUCCUGCGAGCCAACCAAUUUGCCGGCCGUCCCCUCAGUGAGCUGUAAUGGCUUCUUGACUGUCAGCGCUUUAAAUCCUUCAGAGGCACGCUGUCCUGCACACAGUUGGGCGGAGGUGGCCUCAUCCAGGAGGAGGAUCUUGGGGUCACGGAUGAUGGCGCGGGCGAUGGCGAUGCGCUGCUUCUGACCGCGGGACAGCUGAGAGCCCUGGGCCCC